GACGAACGCUGGCGGCGUGCCUAAUACAUGCAAGUAGAACGCACAGUUUAUACCGUAGCUUGCUACACCAUAGACUGUGAGUUGCGAACGGGGGAGUAACGCGUAGGUAACCUGCCUGGAAGCGGGGGAAAACUAUUUGAAACGAUAGCUAAUACAGCAUAAUAUUAAUUAUUGCAUGAUAAUUAAUUUAAAGGUGGAAUUGCACCACUACCAGAUGGAUCUGCGUUGUAUUAGCUAGUAGGUGAGGUAACGGUUCACCUAGGCGACGAUACAUAGCCGACCUGGGAGGGUGAUCGGCCACACUGGGACUGAGACACGGCCCAGACUCCUACGGGAGGCAGCAGUAGGGAAUCUUCGGCAAUGGACGAAAGUCUGACCGAGCAACGCCGCGUGAGUGAAGAAGGGUUUCGGAUCGUAAAGCUCUGUUGUAAGAGAAGAACGGGUGUGAGAGUGGAAAGUUCACACUGUGACGGUAUCUUACCAGAAAGGGACGGCUAACUACGUG
rnacentral:rRNA from 1 species